UACGUAGGGCGCAAGCGUUGUCCGGAAUUAUUGGGCGUAAAGAGCUCGUAGGCGGUUUGUCGCGUCUGCUGUGAAAACUCGAGGCUCAACCUCGGGCUUGCAGUGGGUACGGGCAGACUAGAGUGCGGUAGGGGUGACUGGAAUUCCUGGUGUAGCGGUGGAAUGCGCAGAUAUCAGGAGGAACACCGAUGGCGAAGGCAGGUCACUGGGCCGCAACUAACGCUGAGGAGCGAAAGCAUGGGGAGCGAACAGG
rnacentral:rRNA from 1 species